AGASMCCYCAAGCGUUACCCGGAUUUAUUGGGCGUAAAGGGUGUGUAGGUGGUUUGGUAAGUUUGGAGUUAAAACCUGUCGGCUUAACCUUCAGGAUGCUCUGAAUACUGCCAGACUAAGAGGGCGUUAGAGGCAAACGGAACCGACCAAGUAGGGGUGAAAUCCGUUGAUAUGGUCGGGAACACCAAAAGCGAAGGCAGUUUGCUGGGGCGGCCCUGACACUGAAACACGAAAGCGUGGGGAGCAAAAAGGAUUAGAUACUCUUGUAGUCCACGCCGUAAACGAUGAUCACUGGUUAUUAGCAGUGUCGACCCUGCUAGUGGCGAAGCUAACGCGUUAAGUGAUCCGCCUGGGAAGUACGAACGCAAGUUUA
rnacentral:rRNA from 1 species